GACGAACGCUGGCGGCGUGCUUAACACAUGCAAGUCGAACGGAAAGGCCCUGCUUUUGUGGGGUGCUCGAGUGGCGAACGGGUGAGUAACACGUGAGUAACCUGCCCUUGACUUUGGGAUAACUUCAGGAAACUGGGGCUAAUACCGGAUAGGAGCUCCUGCUGCAUGGUGGGGGUUGGAAAGUCUCGGCGGGUGGGGAUGGACUCGCGGCUUAUCAGCUUGCUGGUGGGGUAGUGGCUUACCCAGGCUUUGACUGGUAGGCGGCCUGAGAGGGUGACCGGCCACAAGGGGACUGAGAUACGGACCAGAGUCCUACGGGAGGCAGCAGUGGGGAAUAUUGCACAAUGGGCGGAAGUCUGAUGCAGCAACGUCGGGGGCGGGAUGACGGCCUUCGGGUUGUGAACCGCUGUCGCCUGUGACGAAGCGUGAGUGACGGUAAUGGGUAAAGAAGCACCGGCUAACUACGUG
rnacentral:rRNA from 1 species